rnacentral:lncRNA from 1 species
GUUUGAGUUGUUCCAAACUAUGAAACAGUUCUCCAUAUUUCACUUUUUUAUCACAGAAAUGUAUAAUCACUCCUGAGUUCCAAACUGCUAACUAUAUACUACUCUUUCAUUCUCAUAUUAUAAUAGCAACACACCCAUUCCACUGUUUUUAAGAAUUACCAUUUACCAAGAUUGGAGGCACUAUAGGUAAAAAUAGAAAUCUAGAAGGAGGAAAUCUACUUCAAGAUAUAAUAUAGGUGUAACAGCUAUAGAAAAUAUUUUCAUGUGGCAUUCUACUGUAGAUUAUCCAACUUUUUUUAAACAAUUGUCAUAAUUUUCAGGUAAAUGGCUAGAGGUUAAAAAUCUGAGGAUAUAUAUUAAUUAGUUGAACUCAUAUGACUUAUAGCUAUUUAAGGUGUGCAUUAUCCCUCUGCCUUCUCAGAGGCUAUUAUUGCUUUAAGGGCUGAAGCCUACACAAGGCAGCCAAGAAUGGGACAGAGACAGCAGGGGCCCACUCUAAAGCUGCUGAGUCCAUCUGUCAUAGCAAGGAUGUUAGCAUUUACUUUAAAAUCGAAUUUCCAUUCCAAAAUGUAAUUUCACCAACCACUAACUCUUGCAACAUUAUAUAUUUUUACCCAGAUGCUAUUUCUGGAGCUGUUAGUCAUGACUAGCUCUGCAUUAAAAUUUGACUGAAGCUGCAUGUAUGUAUUAAAUCAGUGAGUACCUUGAACUUUAUGUUAUUUAAGAAGAUUGGGAAAUAUGAUAUUUCAGGGAAUAAUGUUAAUAUAUAAUUGACACACACAUUCCAAAUAAUAUGAAGGAUAUAGUUUUCUAUAGAAAUUUAUACCAGUAACUUUGAAUUUUCAGAGAGAGUGUCUAGUAUGGAUUUUAUGAUGCUUAAGCAUUAUUAAUAGCAAUAUUUUUAUAUUAAAAUGAUAGUAAUUUUCAGUUGAUCAGAAAUUAAAAUCUAGUUAAUUCUAUUAUUGAAUGUGUUUGUAUUUGUCUAUGUGUAAUAGCAUGUGUGUACAGUACAUGCAUGCACAUAUACACACAUUAACACAUACACUAUAUAUAUUUACACACAGAUGUAUGUGGUGUACAUAUAAGAGGGGACUUCAAAAAUUUCAUAGAAAAAUUGAAUUAAAAGAUAAAAAUAGAAAAAAUCUCUCAACAUAAAGAAACAUCUGAUUAAAAAACUUAAUGUUAAGAAAACAUUCAUGAAGAAAAGGAAUUAAAAGAUAAAAAUUCAAAAAACAUUUCUCAACAUAAAGCUCCGUCAAGUUCAAAACACUUUUGUAGCAAUGAAACCAGCCAUUUAGUCUAUCACUAAAGAACUGAGUUUCCUAGAAAUUUAACCAUGUAAAUGCAAUCUUUUUUACAUUAUCAACUGAAGAACAAGGGCUUCCUUUAUGAAUUUUUAAGAUUAGGAAACAGAAAGAAUUCAGAAAUAGCCAAAUCAUGAUUGCAAGGUAGGUACGUAAUGAUAUCCCAUCAAAAUUCUUUCAAAAUGGCCGUUGUUUGAUGAAAGAAAUGAGCAGGAGAAUUGACAUGGUGGAGAAGGACUCUCUAGUGAAUGUUUCUCAGCCAUUUUUCUGCUAAAGUUUUGGUUAACUUUCUUGAAGCACUCUCAUAAUAAGCAUGUUAUGAUUGUUUGGCACUCCAGAAAGACCCAAUGCAUUUAGCAUCCCCAUAAAACUGUUGUUGCCAGGAUCAUUGCUCUUGACCAGUCCACUUAUACUUUGACUGGACCACUUCCACCACUUGGUAGCCAUUGCUUUGAUUGUGCUUUGUCUUUAGGAUUGUACUGGUAAAGCUGUGUUACAUCUCUCAAUAUAAUUCUUUGAAGAAAUACUUCAGGAUCUUGAUCCCACUUGUUUAAAAUUUCAUUGAAAUUCUGCUUUUGUCCUCAGCUGAUCUGGGUGCAAUGGUCUGACACUCAUUGAAUGGAAAGUUUGCUUAACUUUAAAUUUCACUCAGAAUUAUGUAAGCUGAACAAAUUGAAAUGCCUAUGGUGUUGACUAUUGCUUCUGGUGUUAUCAGUUCUUUUCAAUUAGGGCAUGAACAAGAUGAACUUUUCCUCACAAAUUGAUGUGGAUGAUCUGUCGCUGCAGGCUUCAUCUUCAACAUUGUCUUGUCCCUUCUUAGAAUGGAUUAUUCAUUUGUAUACUGCUAAUUUGGGAUAGAGGAGCAUUUUCCCCGUAAAGCAUUUCAUAAAGUAUCAAUGAUUUUACCAUUUCUUCCACCCAACUACACCAUAAUUUGAUAUUUGUUCUUGGUCAAUUUUAGCAGAAUUCAUGUUGCUCUGACAAGGGCUUUUGUCAAACUGAUGUCUUACCCAUCUUAGUGACUCAGACUAGAUCUUGUUUAUACAUGUUUUAACAAGGUGUAUGACUUUAUUUUGGUGCAAAAUCUUUUUGAAAUCCAUGAAUAGUUUUUGUAUAAUAUGCAUUUUUAUGAUAUCUUUGAAAACCCUCGUGUGUGUGUGUUUGUGUCUAUGGCAUGCCCUAUAUAUGUGGAAGGAUAAAUCUGUAAAUGCAUGCACUAAUAUGGACUACAGAUGUGAACUAUAUCUCCAUGUACAUAUGUAUCUCUAUAUACAUGUGCAUUUAUGGAUGAAAUAUUUAUUGCCUACUGUGUGUUAAGUGACUGUGCUCUUAGCUAUGCAAAUGAUUUCAACUGAUGUUUUUUCCCUAUCCCAUCUAUUUACUAUCCUCUAACUUGUUCCAAAAAAUAGGAUACAGGAUAAAUAACUGAAAUUGUUUUUUGAAUGAGAUUGCAGUCGAUAUAUGAUUUAGAGGACCAAGCAGGCAAAGAAUUUGUAUAUUCAAUCAAUGCCUCUUAGUUGGUGAUAGUUGUUUUUUUUUUUUUUAUUUUUUUUUAUUCUCGGCCUCCCAAAGUGCUGGGAUUACAGGCGUGAGCCACCGCGCCCGGCCGGUGAUAGUUGUUUUUUAGAAUUUUUUCCCCUUAUCACAAGACUGAAAUGAAAAUUGAUGCAAUCACAUGAUGGAAUAUUUGUUCAAUCUGACAGAUUAAUGGUCUAGGAAGAAAAAAUUAAUUUUGAUUUCACCAAAGAAAAACAGUUUGUUGAAAAUCAAUCAGUUCUCAUACAUAGCUAAGAAAAUAUUCACUGCUUUUCAAGCCAUCAAAUGCUUUUAAUAAAUAUCUAAAACAAGGUGGUUAAAAUGUCAACUAGCACUUUUAUUAAGUAUUUUUCUGGAUUUAAAAAGAGAAAUGUCAUAGCAUAUCCUAUCUUCUAGAUUUGUAUUCUCUUGGUCAAGAGCAAGCAUGAGCAAGCCUCUGAAGAGCUGCAUCUCUAACUGCAAGCAUCCCCACGUACUUAUAUAUAUAUGAGCAGGCACUGGCCCUCUCUUUUCUGACAUUCCCUGAAGUGUUCAAUAUUAACAAGCUGUUCAUUGAACUAGGAACAAAUUGGUUGGAAUCAUAUUUGCUAUGUUUUAUUAAAGCAUAGGCAAAAUUACAAUUUCAAAACUACAAGGGAUCUGAUUCCAAAUGUUAUUUUUGUAUAUGAUGAAUUUUAAAAAGUGUUAAAGGGUGAUCCAAAGUUGCCUAUCUAUUCAUUAGCAUGUCUUGCUUUAUGAAAUCCAGAGGUUUUUUCUAUUAUGAUAUAUGUUGCAUACUGAAUCUUAGGGUGCACAUACCUGGCCUAGACAUAAAGAUCUGCUGUUACGUUAUUUUCAAGUUGAGGUAGAGUUAAUGUAAAGUAAUAUGCAACAAUGUUCUUUUCAAUGAGAUUUACAAUUAUACCCACCAUCUUUGUACCUGCAGCAAAUAGAAAUGCUAUUGUCAAGGUAGUCUGUAUGAAAUGCUGAAUUUGGCAAAUUCCUCAAAAUACUUAUAAAAUGUGUUAUAAUAAAUAAUAUUUAUAUUUUUUUCUGGUAGUAAUAACUAAUUAAUGCUAAAUAUAUUUUUGAACUUCUACUAUGUGCCAGAAAAACAUUGGAAAAACAAAUCUGAAUGAACAGGCUAUUUUCUCAAACCUAUAAGUAAAGGUUGGAGAUAAAUCCACAUUUACAUUUUUUUUUUUAACUUGCUACGAAAACACUUAAAAGAACAACCUGAGGCAUUUUGGCUAACCAGAGAAGCUGAUGCUUCUAUCCAGUAUUGAAGAGUAGAUCACAUUUUGUUUGAUAAAGAUCUUAAAAGUCUCAUGUUUCUACAGGCUUCUAUGAAUUUUCUUCUCUUAAUUGGUUUAAGUGAUUAAUCAGUGAUUACUAGAUGGAUCAUUGAUUGGUGUGACCAAGAUUUAGGCAGAGGGUGUUAAAAGAGUGACUAGUAUGGAGGGUAAAAAUUUUAACAAGUCUAAAUCAUGAAGCACCUUGAAUACCAUUCUGAUUUGUUUGAUUUUCUAUUAGCUAUGUCAGGUCACCAAAAGAUAUUUUUAUGAAAAUAACAUGGUCCUUUUGAUUAUUUCAGAAGACCAUUUUGAAAAUAACAUAGAAACCCCAUUGAUAGGAGAUUAGAUUGAAUUUAGAAAGAAAGACCAUUGUGAAGUGUCUGAGAAAAAGAACUGUUGCUUAGAAUGUAGUCAUUAGCAACAAUUUACAAACAUUACUAAAAUAAUUGAUAUACAUAAGAAUAAGAAAUAUAACUGCAGAAAAUAUGGGAUCUCAGGCAAAAGAAGUAAAAUAGCUAUCCUAUGCUCAAAGAAAGAGAAUAUUUAUCUCUUCUCACAAAUGUUAAUUCACACUGAUUCACUCUCCUGGAAAUGAAGAAGAAUGGAUAGAAAAAGUACCGAUAAAUUGGCUGUAUUUUGUUUUACACACACACCAUAUUAUACACCUCUGUAGUUGCUUUCCUGUCAUCUCUCCUAAGGGGGUGAAUUCUUUAGUAAGAAUGUCUUCUUACUAAAAUUGGCCAUAAGUGUUUGUAAAAAAUAUAUUUUUGAUCCAGAAUAAAUUGAUUUCAGCAUCCAGUGGUAUCCUACACAUUAUAUAUACUUAAUAAAAUAUUUCAGUAACAGGUAUCACAUGACAAACAAAUAAAUGGUUACUACAAAGAUGUAUUCUGUGAGCUUUGUAUUUAUUCAUCCAGGUUUUCACUGUCUUCUAGUUUCAGUUAUCUCUUCAUAUUGCACUUGAUCUUAAAUCAGGAAGAGUGUUUUAUAUUUAAUAUUCUGAAAUAUCUGGUAAUAAUUAUAAGGCUCAUCUAAUUCACCUCACUUUUAGAGACAAAAAUGCUGGAAACAAUCUGUUUAAAUCUUUGAAAAAUAUCUCCAAUAAAUUAAUUUAAUUUUAAGAAUAAUUUUAAAUCUCACAAUCAUGAGAUUAGCGUUAUAAUGAUUUUGUCUUAUUUAUGACAUUAAUGUAUUUUAUUUGCAACAAUACUACAUGUGUAAAAGUUGAGCUGCCCAAUGCAGAUUAAUAAAUCAAAACUAAAAUAUAAUUGACUUUGCAUCCCCUAGUACAAACAGCACAGAACAGUUUCUGAUAGGUCUCCUCUGAUUGUGAAGACAGCACAUUCUACAGGAGAAAUACUCCUUUAGCUCCUACAUCAGCUGUCACAGAAGGCUAACAGCUUUGAAUGAAGCUCAGAGGAGGAAACUGCCCUAGGGCAGACUUGCUACUUGAGUCAUAUACACUGGCUGGCCCUAUUAUUUAGAACAUAUCAGCGGUGGAAAAAGUGGGAGGUUUCUGUCAAGCUUCACUGGACAAAUCACAAUACAGUCCCCUGAGAUUCUAGACGAAGACCACGCUGUCUACAGUAGAGAAUUAUGUGUGUUUAAUAAGCAGCAUUAGCUGUGCUACACGGAGCUGGUAUGGUUUAUUAUCAACAGGCAGAAGAGCCUGCCAGUGGAAUGAACUACAGGAGAAGUACUGAAGGUAAUUUCAAAGUAAUAGGCAGGGACAAUGAGUAACCUAGUUCACAAACACUAUUUUACUGUCUUCCCUUCUAUAGCAUUCCUAAUAUUGUUAAUAGUACUCACAGAAAGAAAACACUGAGACAGAGCUACACUGAAGCCAGGCAGAAAGGGUAAAGCUGCAUACAGUGGUAAAAGUGGUUGACAUCUCCAAAAGAUUUUUCAGUAAGAAGAAUAGAGGAUUAAACUCAUUCCAAAUUAUAUAUUUAAUCACAGAUUAAGUAUAAUAACAAAAUAAAAGAAAAUACAUAAAGAAAUAUAAUAUAUGUAAUUUCAAAAAAACUUAGUUCAUCAUAGUAACUUGCUGAUUUUCACAUUUAAUCUGAUUAUCAAUGCUUUGGAAAAAUUUAAUGUAUCAUGGGGAAUGACAAAGAGGUGCUUUUGAUUAUUUUAUUUAUUGCUCCAUAGAAAUUUAAUCUAUAUCAAAUAAAUUACCCAUUAUUAUGUAUUGAGAUGAUUAUUGGUCUUUAAUAUUAAUAAUACAUUUAUCAUAUACCUAGCACAUAUUUUCUGUAGCAGUGCAAUGAACUGAAAUUAAGUAGCUCUAAUAAGCCUUCAACAAUAUAGCAACAUUCCUAGAAUCCUACUAACUUCAACUCAUGAAUGGGUAGUAAAUUUUAUCAAAUUUCUUAUUGAAAGAUUACAUGGCAAUGUGAUUCAUUAUACUGUCUUAUUUUCCAGUGUACUACAACUUUUAAACAUGGGAGAAAAAAUGAAACCACUCAGGGAUUGUAAAAGAUUUUGAUGUUUAAAUAUUUUUAAUUUUUUUUGGUAAUGUCUGGGUAAGGGUGAUACUGGCUUUAUAAAAGACUUGGAAGAUUUCCUUUUUUUCAUUUCUCUUGAAAUAUUUGCAUAAAGUUGGUGUUACUUUCUCUUUAAAUGCUGGAAAUAAUUUGCCAGUGAAGCCAUCUGUACCCAGGGGUAUUUGUCAGAAAGUUCUAAAACAUACUUAAUAUCAUUAGUAGAAAAGGAAAUAUUUACAUUUGAAAAUUUAUUCUUGUAGGUUUUUUUGGCAAAUUAUGUCUUUUGAGGAAUUUGCCAGUUUUAUAUAUCACAUAUAUCAGAAUGAAGUUGUGCCUUCUAAUUAUGGUUCAAUGCAUUGAAAUAUAGGAAAUGCAAUAAUUUUCCAUUUUCAUAUUUUUUAAUUGCCAAUUUAUAUUGUUAUGUUUUGUUUUCUGCCUCCUUGAUCAUGCUGCUAGAAAGGGGUCAACUUUAGGCUUUUUAUUCCCUAUUAUAGUUGGUUUUCUACCUGGUUGAUUGUUAAUCUUAAUUAUUUCCUUUCUUUUAAUUAUUUAUAUUAAAUUUGCUGUUUUAACUUCUUGUAAAUUGAGAUAGAAGCUAUGGGAAUUAUUUUAUUUUAAAUUUGCUUUUUUUUAAUUGUAUUUGCAAUGACAUAAUUGUACAUAUUUAUGGAGUACAGUGUGAUGUUUCAAUGCAUGUAUACAUUCUAUAAUGAUCAAAUAAAGGCAAUUAGCAGAUUCAUCGUUUUAAAUAUUUAUCAUUUCUUUGUGGCGAUAACAUUUUAAGUCAUCUCUUCAAGCUAUCUUGAAAUAUACACUAUGUUAUCUGCUAUAGUCACCCUAGUUUGUAAGAGAGCACCAAACUUAUGUUUUCUAACCGCAAUUUUGUGCCCAUUGACUAGCUUCUCCCAGUAUCACAUCUCCACUACCCUCCCCAGACUCUGAUAACUAUUAUUCUAUGCUCUACUUCUAUGAAGUCAACCUUUUACAAAUUCUACAUAUGAGUGAGAUCAUAUGGUAUUUGUCUCUCCGUGCCUGGCUUAUUUCAUUUAAUAUGAUGUCCUUGAUGUCCUUCAGCUUCAUCCAUGUUGCCUCAAAAGACAGGGUUUCAUUUUGUUUUAUGGCUGAAGAGUAUUCCAUUGUAUAGAGACCACAACAUUUUUAUCUUUUCAUCAAUUGUUGGGCAUUGGGUUAAUUCCAUAUCGUGGCUAUUGUGAAUAGCACUGCAGUAAACAUGGGAAUGCAGAUUUCUCUUUAACAUAUUGAUUUCAUUUCCUUUGGAUAUAUAACCAGUAAUGGGAUUGAUGCGUCAUAUGGUAGUUCUGUUUUUAAUAUUUUUAAGAACCUCCAUGCUGUUUUGCUUAAUGGCUGAACUAACUUAUAUUUCCGUCAACAGUAUGAGUUCUCUUUUCUCUACAUCCUCAAGAGAAUUUGUUUUUUAUGUUUUUAUUAAUAACCAUUCUAACUGAAAUAAGAUGAUAUCUCAUUGUGCUUUUGAUUUGCAUUACUCUGAUGAUUAAAUCAAAUUCAACAACAUAAAAAGAUAUUUUACCAUAAUCAAGUGAAAUUUAUCCAAAGGAUGCAGGAUAGUUCAACACACACAAAUUAAUAAAUGUGAUACAUCACAUUAACAAAAUCAAGAAUAAGAACAAAAAUCAUAUGGUUAUUUCAAUAAAUACAGAAAAAAAAUUGAUAAAAUUCAACAUCCCUUUAUGACAAAAACCCUCAGACAACUGGGUAUAGAAGAAACGUACAUCAACCUAAUAAAAGUCGUACAUAAGAAACCCACAGCUAACAUCAUACUAAACAGAGAAAACACUGAAAUCUUUUCCUUUAUAAUCUGGAACAAGACAAUAGUACCCACUUUUCCACUUUUAUUUAACAUAAUACUGGAAGUCCUAGCCAGAGUAAUUAGCCAAGAUAAAGAAAUAAAGUCACCCAAAUUGGAAAGAAGGAAGUCAAAUUGUCCUUGUUUGCAGAUAACAUAAUUAUAUACAUACAAAACCCUAAAGACUCAAUCUAAAAACUGUUAGAAGUAAUAUUCGUUGCUGAGAUCUUUCACGUCCUUGAUUAAGUAUAGUUGUAGGUAUUUUAUUUUAUAUUUUGCAGCUGUUGUAAAAGAGAUUGAGUUCUUGAUUUGAUUCUCGGGUCUGUUAUUGGUGUAUAGCAGGGAUACUGAUUUGUGUACGUUGAUUUUGUAACCUAAGACUUUACUGAAUUUGCUUAUCAAAUCUAGAAGCCUUUUCGAGGAGUCUUUAGGAUUUUCUAGAUGUAGGGGCACAUCAUCUGCAAACAGUGAUAGUUUGACUUCCUCUUUUCCGGUUUGAAUGCCCUUUCUUUCUCUUGCCUAAUUGCUCUGGCUAGGACUUCUAGAAC